GGAGAGAUGGCCGAGCGGUUUAAGGCAGUUGUCUUGAAAACAACCAGGCGCAAGCCUCGUGGGUUCGAAUCCCACUCUCUCCU
rnacentral:tRNA from 1 species